GGGUGAUAAUGGUGCAAGCUUAUGGUAUAGCUUGUGACUAAUUUUGCAAUGACUGUGGAAAGGGUAUUAGAUGGCUCAGGGAAGUGAGUGUGGGUGCUGGAUCAUUUCACCAGCCAACAACGGAAUAAAAUACCAGUGGUUUACAGUCUGAUAACUACACAGUGAUUUAUCUGCUGUAGGUUCCUCUUCCAGUGCAAGUGAUGGAAGUCCACAGCCACAUCUAACCACCUUGAAGGGGAGGCAAAAGGCUGGAUACGCAGGGAGGCCAGCACAGCAGGUAUCUGGAUAAAGCCAGGCCUUGCCGGGGCACUGAGAAGAUCCUGGGGUUUGCUGAGCUAAGAAAUGCACUAGGAGUAGCCCUAGAGCCUCUGCAUCACAAUCUAGCAAAAAGCCCUUGCACAGAAAGGACUUUCCCGGAUUUUGAACACCCUGCCAAGGGGACAGGGGUAUUGCUGAAGCAGUUCCAGUAAGACCCUUGCCCACAGGCUGCCUGCCUCCUCCAUCCAUCCCACCAUGCUGCCCUGGGGAUGUGGUGUCACAGGACCAGGGCUGUGCUCCCACCUGGCCUCCAACAUAACAGAGAUUUUUGGAGAAUACUUGCAGGCUGAAGAUUUGUAGGUCCAAUUGCUGAAGUUGAGGUGCCCACGUUAGGAAACUUCUCUCUCUGGGCUUCCUUUAAAGUCAGUGAGGAUAAGUAGGUGCUCUGAAUUAACACAAAAUUACUUUGCUCCUUUCCACUUACUAUGAUGAACAUUUUUUUUUUUUUUUUUUUUUUGUGAGAAGACGAGUUCUUCACCUAAUUUCAUUGCUUGGAGACAGUGAAAUUAGCAAUGCAUUUGUGUAAUUGCAAGGCAGACUUCUUCCUGUGGUAGUGCAGCCCAGCAGGCAGCUCAGCAUCACCCAGCUCCUCGCUCAAAUCUUCCCAUGUGGAAUGGGGGGAACAUCGGUAAGAUAAAAGUGUGAGAACACCUGGGUUGAGAUAAGGACAGUUCACUAGGGAAAGCGAAAACUGUGUGCACAAGCAAAGCAGAACAAGGAAUUAAUUUGGUGCUUCCCAUCGGCAAGUAGGUUUUCAGCUACUCCCAGCAAAGCAGGGCACAGCACACAUAACAGUUUACUGGGAAGACAAAAGCCAUCACUCCCCU
rnacentral:lncRNA from 1 species